rnacentral:miRNA from 1 species
AUAGAAUAAGUUAUGA